GAUGAACGCUGGCGGCGUGCCUAAUACAUGCAAGUCGAGCGAACGGACGAGAAGCUUGCUUCUCUGAUGUUAGCGGCGGACGGGUGAGUAACACGUGGAUAACCUACCUAUAGGACUGGGAUAACUUCGGGAAACCGGAGCUAAUACCGGAUAAUAUUUUGAACGGCAUGGUUCAAAAGUGAAAGACGGUCUUGCUGUCACUUAUAGAUGGAUCCGCGCUUCAUUAGCUAGUUGGUAAGGUAACGGCUUACCAAGGCAACGAUGCAUAGCCGACCUGAGAGGGUGAUCGGCCACACUGGAACGGAGACACGGUCCAGACUCCUACGGGAGGCAGCAGUAGGGAAUCUUCCGCAAUGGGCGAAAGCCUGACGGAGCAACGCCGCGUGAGUGAUGAAGGUCUUCGGAUCGUAAAACUCUGUUAUUAGGGAAGAACAUAUGUGUAAGUAACUGUGCACAUCUUGACGGUACCUAAUCAGAAAGCCACGGCUAACUACGUG
rnacentral:rRNA from 1 species